rnacentral:rRNA from 1 species
CUGGCUCAGGACGAACGCUGGCGGCGUGCUUAACACAUGCAAGUCGAGCGAGGAAAUUGCUUCGGUGAUUUUCUAGCGGCGGACGGGUGAGUAACACGUGGGCAACCUGCCUGAUAGAGGGGGAUAGCCUUCCGAAAGGGAGAUUAAUACCGCAUAAAGUCAAAUGAAGGCAUCUUCAAAUGACCAAAGGAGUAAUCCGCUAUCAGAUGGGCCCGCGGCGCAUUAGCUAGUUGGUGAGGUAACGGCUCACCAAGGCGACGAUGCGUAGCCGACCUGAGAGGGUGAUCGGCCACAUUGGGACUGAGACAC